AAGGGCCGGGCAAGACCGGUGCCAGCCGCCGCGGUAAUACCGGCGGCUCGAGUGGUGGCCACUAUUACUGGGCUUAAAGCGUUCGUAGCUGGUUUGUUAAGUCUCUGGGGAAAUCUUCCGGCUUAACCGGAAGGCGUCUCAGGGAUACUGGCAGACUAGGGACCGGGAGAGGUGAGGGGUACUUCAGGGGUAGGAGUGAAAUCCUGUAAUCCUUGAGGGACCACCUGUGGCGAAGGCGCCUCAGCAGAACGGCUCCGACAGUGAGGGACGAAAGCUGGGGGAGCAAACCGGAUUAGAUACCCGGGUAGUCCCAGCUGUAAACGAUGCGCGUUAGGUGUAUCGAUGACCACGAGUCAUCGAGGUGCCGAAGAGAAAUCGUGAAACGUGCCGCCUGGGAAGUACGGUCGCAAGGCUGAAACUUAAAGGAAUUGGCGGGGGAGCACCACAACGGGUGGAGCCUG
rnacentral:rRNA from 1 species